rnacentral:rRNA from 1 species
GAGUUUGAUCAUGGCUCAGGAUGAACGCUAGCGGCAGGCUUAAUACAUGCAAGUCGAGGGGUAACAGGUCUUCGGAUGCUGACGACCGGCGAACGGGUGAGUAACACGUACGUAACCUACCUUUAACUGAGGAAUAGCCCCGGGAAACUGGGAUUAAUACCUCAUAACAUAAAUUUCUGGCAUCAGUGAUUUAUUAAAGCUCAGGCGGUUAAAGAUGGACGUGCGGCCCAUUAGGUAGUUGGUGAGGUAACGGCUCACCAAGCCAUCGAUGGGUAGCGGGCGUGAGAGCGCGAUCCGCCACACGGGCACUGAGACACGGGCCCGACUCCUACGGGAGGCAGCAGUAGGGAAUAUUGGACAAUGGAGGAAACUCUGAUCCAGCCAUGCCGCGUGAAGGAUGACUGCCCUAUGGGUUGUAAACUUCUUUUAUCANGGAAGAAACACCGGGAUUCAUCCCGGCCUGACGGUACCUGAUGAAUAAGCACCGGCUAACUCCNUGCCAGCAGCCGCGGUAAUACGGAGGGUGCAAGCGUUAUCC